UAUGUAGCUAUAGCUGUCAUGAAACUUGAUCUAUAGCUCAGGCUGGCUUCGAACUCACAGAGAUCUACCUGCCUCUGCCUCCCAAGUGCUGGAAGUAAACAUGCCAGCUGGUUCUGCAGAAGUCAAGUCCUUACGUAAUGUAUUACCUACUUUCACUGCUUUUUAAAUUUAUGUGAGUAUUAUGCUGAUUAGUUUUUGGUAACUUCACACAGAGUAGAGUCACCUGGGCAGAGGGACCUUCUGUUGAGGAAUUUCUUCUUCAGCUGGACUAUGGAAAGCUGUGCACAGGAAGCAUUUGCUGGACGGGAGACCUGGCAUGGCUGAGUCCAGACUCUAGUCCUCGUGCUAAUGAGUCACCUGAUGUCUGUGGAUCAGGGCCACACCCAUAAAAUGUUACCAUGGCAUUUUCAAGGCAAUGCCAGCCAAUGGGUCCAAUCUCACAGUCUGCACAGACUAGAAACUUGACGUUGCCCACGUCCUUGGUAAAGCCCACGUUCUCAAAGAUGAACAUGUCAUUAACCAGCCAGUGUUUCUCGAGGAGAUCACCAU